rnacentral:tRNA from 2 species
AUAAAAGUAGUUUAAUAAGAAUGAAAAUUUGUCAUAUUUUUGGUGCUGGGAGUCUUUUAUU